AGGUGAACCGCGAAGGCUCAUUAAAUCAGUUAUGGUUCCUUAGAUCGUACCCACAAUUACUUGGAUAACUGUGGUAAUUCUAGAGCUAAUACAUGCAAACAGAACUCCGACCGGAGACGGAAGGAGUGCUUUUAUUAGAUCAAAACCAAUCGGUGGCGGGUUCGCUCGUCAUCGUACAACUUGGUGACUCUGAAUAACUUUAUGCUGAUCGCACGGUCUCGCACCGGCGACGCAUCUUUCAAAUGUCUGCCUUAUCAACUGUCGAUGGUAGGUUCUGCGCCUACCAUGGUUGUAACGGGUAACGGGGAAUCAGGGUUCGAUUCCGGAGAGGGAGCCUGAGAAACGGCUACCACAUCCAAGGAAGGCAGCAGGCGCGCAAAUUACCCACUCCCGGCACGGGGAGGUAGUGACGAAAAAUAACGAUACGGGACUCAUCCGAGGCCCCGUAAUCGGAAUGAGUACACUCUAAACCCUUUAACGAGGAUCAAUUGGAGGGCAAGUCUGGUGCCAGCAGCCGCGGUAAUUCCAGCUCCAAUAGCGUAUAUUAAAGUUGUUGCGGUUAAAAAGCUCGUAGUCGAAUCUGUGUCUUGCGCCGCCGGUUCAUCGUUCGCGGUGUUAACUGGCGUGUCGCAGGACGUCCUGCCGGUGGGCUUAGCUCGCAAGGGCGGCCCAACUCAAUCCUGCCGCGGUGCUCUUCACUGAGUGUCGAGGUGGGCCGGCACGUUUACUUUGAACAAAUUAGAGUGCUUAAAGCAGGCUAAAACUUCGCCUGAAUACUGUGUGCAUGGAAUAAUGGAAUAGGACCUCGGUUCUAUUUUGUUGGUUUUCGGAACCCCGAGGUAAUGAUUAAUAGGAACGGAUGGGGGCAUUCGUAUUGCGACGUUAGAGGUGAAAUUCUUGGAUCGUCGCAAGACGGACAGAAGCGAAAGCAUUUGCCAAAAACGCUUUCAUUGAUCAAGAACGAAAGUUAGAGGUUCGAAGGCGAUCAGAUACCGCCCUAGUUCUAACCAUAAACGAUGCCAGCUAGCGAUCCGUCGACGUUCCUCCGAUGACUCGACGGGCAGCUUCCGGGAAACCAAAGCUUUUGGGUUCCGGGGGAAGUAUGGUUGCAAAGCUGAAACUUAAAGGAAUUGACGGAAGGGCACCACCAGGAGUGGAGCCUGCGGCUUAAUUUGACUCAACACGGGAAACCUCACCAGGCCCGGACACCGGAAGGAUUGACAGAUUGAGAGCUCUUUCUUGAUUCGGUGGGUGGUGGUGCAUGGCCGUUCUUAGUUGGUGGAGCGAUUUGUCUGGUUAAUUCCGAUAACGAACGAGACUCUAGCCUGCUAACUAGGCGUAUUUUGACAUCGCAAAGGCCCGCCGGUAUCGGGGUUCGCUCCUUUAUCGUGCGCGGUUUUUACUGUCGGCGUACAAACAAUUCUUCUUAGAGGGACAGGCGGCUUCUAGCCGCACGAGAUUGAGCAAUAACAGGUCUGUGAUGCCCUUAGAUGUUCUGGGCCGCACGCGCGCUACACUGAAGGAAUCAGCGUGUCCUCCCUGGCCGAGUGGCCCGGGUAACCCGCUGAACCUCCUUCGUGCUAGGGAUUGGGGCUUGCAAUUCUUCCCCAUGAACGAGGAAUUCCCAGUAAGCGCGAGUCAUAAGCUCGCGU
rnacentral:rRNA from 1 species